CGAAGCCGCGAGUGGAGCAAAUCCCAGAAAACUGAUCUCAGUUCGGAUUGCAGGCUGCAACCCGCCUGCAUGAAGUCGGAAUCGCUAGUAAUCGCGGGUCAGCAUACCGCGGUGAAUACGUUCCCGGGCCUUGUACACACCGCCCGUCACACCACGAAAGUUGGUAACACCCGAAGCCGGUGGCCUAACCCUUAGGGGAGGGAGCUGUCGAAGGUGGGACUGAUGAUUGGGGUGAAGUCGUAACAAGGUAGC
rnacentral:rRNA from 1 species